GAGGGUGUAGCUCAGUGGUAGAGCACAUGCUUAGCGUGCACGAGGUCCUGGGUUCAAUUCCCGGUACCUCA
rnacentral:tRNA from 1 species